CAAUAGCGCAUAUUAAAGUUGUUGCGGUUAAAAAGCUCGUAGUUGGAUUUCUGUGGUAGGCAGCCGGUCCACACUAUGUGUGAGUAUCUGGUUCGGCUACUGCAUCCUCCUGAGGAACGAUGGUGCGCUUAACUGCGUGGCGCGGUACUCAGGACUUUUACUUUGAGGAAAUUAGAGUGUUCACGGCAGGCGUUUGCCCUGAAUAUAUUAGCAUGGAAUAAUGAUAUAGGAUCGACGUCCUAUUUUGUUGGUUUCUAGGACGACGAUAAUGAUUAAUAGGGAUAAUUGGGGGCAUUCGUAUUAACACGUCAGAGGUGGAAUUCUUGGAUUGUGUUACGACGAACUACUGCGAAAGCAUUUGCCAAGGAUGUUUUCAUUGA
rnacentral:rRNA from 1 species